rnacentral:rRNA from 1 species
AGCGAACGCUAGCGGCGGGCCUAACACAUGCAAGUCGAGCGGGGAGCAAUCCCAGCGGCGAACGGGUGAGUAACACGUAGGUAAUGUGCCUUUUGGUGGGGAAUAACCGUGGGAAACCAUGGCUAAUACCGCAUAUCGUGCUUCGGCAUGAAAGCUUCUGAGGCAACUCGGGGGCGCCAGUUGAGCAGCCUGCGUCCCAUUAUUUAGUCCUAGUUGGUAGGGUAAUGGCCUACCAAGGGUACGAUGGGUAGCUGGUCUGAGAGGAUGAUCAGCCACACUGGAACUGAGACACGGUCCAGACUCCUACGGGAGGCAGCAGUGGGGAAUAUUGCGCAAUGGGGGAAACCCUGACGCAGCCACGCCGCGUGAGUGAUGAAGGCCUUCGGGUUGUAAAGCUCAAUAAGUGGGAAAAAAUAAGCCCGUAAGGUGAUGAUGGUACCAUACUAAAGCACCGGCUAACUUACGUGCCAGCAGCCG